GUAAAGUUUUAUCCUGGCUUAAGAUAUUAAUUAUAUGAAUAAGUUUUAUGUAAGUGUUUAUCUAAAUGAAUUAUUUAUAAAAUAGCAGAAAUUAAUAUUAUACGAUCAAAUUGAUUUGGAUAUAAUAAUUUAUAAAAUAUUGGUUAAAAGCGUGCCAGCUGCCGCGGUUAUACGUAGAAUGAAAAUUAAUAAAUUUAAUUAGAAGUUAAAAGUAAUAAUGUUUAUUGUAUUUAUAAUAAUUUAAUAAAAGGAUGAAAUCUUUAUUAGGUGAUAAAUAUAGAAUGAAUUUUGAAGCUUUGAAAUUUUUUAAUAAACUAGGAUUAGAUACCCUAUUAUAAUUAGUGUAAAUAAGAAAAAUUAGAGUAGUAAGAGUUAUGAUCUUGAAACUUAAAGGAUUUGGCGGUGUUUUAUACUGUUCAGAGGAAUCUGUUUUAUAAUUGAUAAUACACGAUUUUUGAAUACUUAAUUUAAAGCUUGUAUAUCGCCGUCAUCAGAUUAUUUUGAUGAGAAAAAGAAAAAUUUCGUAAUGUUUAAUAUAAGAAUAUGUCAGGUCAAGGUGCAGUUUAUGAUUAAGAAAAAAUGGAUUACAAUAAAUAAUUAUUUAAACGGAAUGUUUUUUAUUAGAAAUAUGAAGGUGGAUUUGAAAGUAAAUUGAUUGAAGAAUAAUUAAUUGAAUUAGCUCUAAAGCAUGUACAUAUCGCCCGUCGCUCUCAUUAUUUUGAGAUAAGUCGUAACAAAGUAGAUGUACUGGAAAGUGUAUCUAGAAGGAAA
rnacentral:ncRNA from 1 species